CGGCAUGCUUAACACAUGCAAGUCGAACGGGAAGUACCUUCGGGUGCGAGUAAAGUGGCGGACGGGUGAGUAACGCGUGGGAAUCUGCCUAGUAGUGGGGGAUAACAAUCGGAAACGGUUGCUAAUACCGCAUGUACCCUACGGGGGAAAGGCUUCGGCCGCUAUUAGAUGAGCCCGCGUAAGAUUAGCUUGUUGGUGGGGUAAAGGCCUACCAAGGCGACGAUCUUUAGCUGGUCUGAGAGGACGAUCAGCCACACUGGGACUGAGACACGGCCCAGACUCC
rnacentral:rRNA from 1 species